AGGAUCAAGCCUCUUUAUCACAUAUGAGUAUUCUGUAUAUGAACAUUCAAGGCAACAGUUGCAACCGCUAGCGCAAACACUUGCGUUUUAUAACACAGAAGAGACAUGACACACUGCAAUUGGCCAGUAACCCGUGUUUAAGUAGGCAGAAGGCAGUUGUGCCCUAAAACAGCUAACCACAAUUAUCCAUAUAGGUAGAAUCAUCUUGGUCACUGAAAAUCAUAUACUGUAAUUAUCUUCAGCGUUUAAUCACAAUCUCUUCAAAUUGUGUAGGAAAAUAAACACUGAAGAAGAUUCAGGAGAGAAGUAAAUAGCAUUGACAAGUAUAUGGUGAAAAUUGGAUUAUUUGAUUAUUAUUGUCUCUAAACUUCCCAAUUGCCAUUCGUACAAUGAACCUCGUAUUUUGUUGCAAAAAAGCCAUGGACAACCAGGAACUACCUUGGUUUUAUUUUGUCAGUUUUCCCUUUUGCACUUACGAUUGUAAUAGUCGUAUCUUGUAAACCCAGGCUAGCCAGUUGCAAACUACCUUUGUAAUAGAAAGAUUUGUAAUUGUAGUGUAAUUUCCGUUUGCAUGAAAAGUUUUCAUUAGUAUUGGAACUAAACCAAGUCCGUUGACUACUUUCUAUCUGGAAAAUUUUGUUUCUAUUGAAAAAACACGAAUAUUCUUCUAAUUAGCUUAAGAAAAAGUAUGGCUUGUUUUAAUUGAACAAGAGAACAGUGUCUGUAAAAGUUCAAACGUUUUCCAUUGAAAAUAUCUAAUUUUAUUCUUCGUAUAGUCUGUUCCGGUGCUGCUUGUCAAUUUGUUCUCAUGAGUUCGACGUACCGGAUAACAGAUGAACAUUCCCGUCGUAGAUCAUAGAAUUUUUGUGUCGGUUUCCAUGAUAUUGUGUAAAUAGAAUGCAUAAACACGUGACGUCUGGGUUCAAGUAGCCUGGGCUUGAAAAAGCUUUAUUAUUGAGAAAAAUCUGCUUCGUUCGCACAUAUGCUAGUGAUCAAACAAAAUUUUCUAACCAGCAACCAAGUCAAAACAUGAAUAAAGGAGUCCAAAAAUAUACAUAAUCCUAGGCGUGUCAGAGAACUUAAAAAUGCAUCGUCUUGUACAAGGGACUAUAUAGCUCAAACUGUCUGUGUUUUUAGAAGAAUACGAUAUUAGGAAAUAGCUUGCUUAAAUAACUUGGGAAAAACUGAAUAUGUUCUCUUUUUGACAUAAUUUUUGGCUUUGAAACUGAAAAACGGAGAGAAUUGAGGCCGGUUCCUCGUACACAAAAUUUCGCGCGCAUUCAUAACAGAUUAGGAAACUUUUCCUUUCCACGAGCACAGGAAAUUUCACCACCGAAGCUCGAGAGUUGAAAGCGAUUAGAUCUCCCUGUGAAAUUGCUCGCAAGAGAACCAAUUGAUAGUCACUAAAAUGUGCUUUGUGACAAUGGGCCAACAACAUCAUGGCAUUGAAGUGAGUUUCGAUUCCACGUUGUAAUCAAUAUUAUAGAGGGCAUCGCCAAUUCUAGUAUGCCUCGAUGUAGUACACAUAGUGAUACUUUAAAACCUAUUGGUUCUCUUUUGGAGGCACCUUUAGCAAUUUCAUGGCCACCAAAAGCUAGGUUCUUCGCAAAUCUAAGGGUCCAUUUUUAAACCAAAGAAGCACUGCUGAUAAUGAAGUAUCUCUUAUCAGAAGAGGGAAUUGUUUCCGUGAAAAAAUGAGACAACUGGAACUCUGUAAAGCCCAGUCUCCAGCGAGAAAAGGUCUUGCGAAAUUUCGCUGCGAAAUACUUCACGCGAAAACAUCCUUUAAAUGAUUUUGUUUUCCUUACAACAUUGGAAGGUAAAAUUUGGAAGCGUGACAAAGGGAUAUGGACUGUGAUUGGCUGCUGAAGGAUUUUGCAAGCCCGAUCUCCAGUGAGAAAAAAAUCAGCGAAAUUCGAAAAAGUUCGCGCGAAAUACGUUCUGGGUAUGCCCAGUGAACUUUUGCUGGGAUUUCUCACGAAGAAUUUCUACGCAAAAAAAGGUUCAAAUGAGUUUUUCGCUUGCGGAAUUUUUCAGCAGCCAAUCAUAAUCCAUAUCCCUUUGUCACGCUUCCAAACUUUACAUUUUCCAAUGUCGCUAGGUCAACAAAAGCAUUCAAAGGAAUUUUCUCGCGUGAAGUAUUUCGCAGCAAAAUUCGCAAGACUUUUUCUCACUGGAGAUUGGGAUUGAGUUCCCGGGAUUGAGAUUCUGGUAGUAUUUGUGAAGCAGUUUUGGAACAUUUUGUACUUUGUGUGAAUCAAUUAAACGUCCAAGCUGUGUCUUUUUUCCUUUAAAUAACUAAGUGCCAUGUUUGUCAGAAUUUUUGAUUAUUCUUUUUCGUUCAUUUUGAUUAUCACAGAUGUGGAGCUUAGAUGUCAAAGACUCAUCAUUCGAAAGGUGUUGCGGAAUAGUAGGAUCGAAAUACAGAGAAACACUGUUUUUGACAUUUAUAUGCAGGGUGCAUUAUGCAUAAUCGACUGAUAUUAUUAUGUGAUAAGAAAAAUAUUGUAGAGAUAACUUAGGAGAAUUUCAUGAAAAAAAGUCUGUUAACUAAAAACACUUACAGGCAACGAGUCUUCCUGUAUUAAGUGCGUGUAUUUUAAUCAUAAUGUACCCGUCGAAAACUUUAUACCAUUUGUUUUACAGAAGGCCUUUGACCUAGUUAUUUUAAACGCGCUGCAAAACCAAUAGAUAACGUUUAAAUGUAACGCACUAGUUCGCUUUAGCUCCCCCUUCAGGUCAAUGAGCAAUGCACAACAGACUGGGUAACAACAUUCAUUCUUAACAUGCUGUUUGACGUUGGGUGACGUCAAAUGUAUGUUGACUUUAUGAAAAUUGUUGUUAACCAGCCUUUUGCAGUGUGCUCGAUGCUGUGUACACGCUUGAUAUAAACAGCAAAACGGGGUUACUCCAUCAAAUCUCACGCUGAAUGCGAUCAUCAAAUAAACGAUCAUCAUAAUUCUAGUGCGUAGAUCAGGAAGGCUCUAGGUUGCUACUCAGGGCUUCACGCAAAAGCACAUUCACAUUCAAGGCUAUUCGAUCGUCAAUCGCGGUGUCGAGGACAUGAGAUCUCUGAGUUGCUACUUUUAGUUUCAAGCCGAAUUUGAUCAUCAGGCACAUCUAAUAACUAUCAUCUUUGUUGGUGAUAUGAUAUUGUCUUGGUAAACAACUGGAGUAUAGAGGUUGUCUUUCGCAGAAAUUUCCUUUGGCCGUUGAAUUUUUUUACUUCCAAACCAGAGCCUAGCAUUUUUAAGAUUUGGAGAUACGCCAAAUCACAGAUGAAACUUUGCUACAAGUUUUAAGAGGUAGAAAGCGAAUGUGGUAAACUAAUCCAAUAACAACUUUGAAACGCGUAAAGGAGUUAACCUACUUUGCAGAGUCAAAAUCCUUAUUAUCAUUGGCUGAAUUCGUUAAGCAGCACUUGCUUCGUUCAUUCAUUGUCAGUUUCUAUUGACAUUUGAUGUGACGUCAUCAUAUACCAACAUUUUGCAUUUUCUAUAAGUAAAACAAUAGAUUGACACGCCAAAGUAAAAGCCAGUCUGGGGAAGCAAGCUGUGGAAAUUUUGCAUGUGAAUUGACACGCAAGAAGAAACAUAUGGCCUGAAGAUUCGUGUUGAAUGGAGUGCCAUGAGCUGUCCAAGUACUUGGCCAUCAUUCAGUGUCGUGUAUUCAUUAUUUCCAGCGAUAUUUUACACUGAAGCGUAGCAAACGCAGUGAUAUAAUCUAAUAUCUCAAAAAUCGGCACUGUAAUGUAUGGUUAAUGGCUGUGUUGACUUAACAAAGAGAUUGAUAACGGAAUCUAAAGUAAGGUGGCGAAGGCCCAGCUGCUUAACAAUGGAGUAUGCGCAGGGCGAGAUUAAAUGAAUCGUCAAGAUUGACGGCUUUGCAUUGUUUAGUUGUCCUUGUGAAGAGACCAUAGUCUUCUUUGCAAUAAGCAGUCGUGAUACUAGCUUCAAGGGUCAUUUACGCACUAGCCAUUUCGGAUAUAGACACUCAGUUUCGCGAUGAAGACAGUACUUUUUGCUUGCUUGUGUUGUGUGACUUUGUUAGCGUGCGUAGCAAGACCAAUGAACGAGAGUAAGAGACAGUUUCAAACGACUUGCACAUACUGGCGAUAUAAUCUUUGCGAUAACAUGUCGUCAAGAGAUCUUGCUGAAAGGAGACAGGGCGAAGGUGCAAGAAAAGGACGAAAUUUAAUAAAUGAAGAUUUUGAGCAGUUAGAGGCAGAUGAAAAAAGAAGCUCUUCAAGCCGGCAGACGAAGAAAGAACUCAUGAACACUUUGAUGGUUCUUGGCAAGCUUUUAGAGGAUAACUAAGAAUUGACUGCAAUAUGCAAUGGUUAGGGAAGAUGCUUAAGGAUAAACUGUAAGCCAAAACGACGAAUCGUAUAGCAAAAUAUUGUAAGAUAUAGUCUUAAUUUCAAUAGAAGAGAACCAAGCAAUCUA